rnacentral:lncRNA from 12 species
UACCCAUCUCCCAGGCUUGUGAGGAUCGAGUGAGAUAACCUGUGUUCAGCCCAUCCAGAGCCAGGCUCGUGGGCGCCUGGUCAUGGUUUUGUCCUCGCUGUUGCCAGGUCGCAUGUGGUGACUCACACUGAGACCCUCAGGUCUGUAAUACAGGUGGGCCUCAGCAGAGCCAGGUCAGCCUCUCCCCCUCUGGGCCUCACUGUCCCCAUCGGUGAAACGUUUGGGGGCAGACAAGUUGGACUAGAGUGGGCUUCUCACCCUCUAGCAUGACUGACAUUUGGGGCCACAUACUUCCUUGCUGUGGGGGGCUGAUGUGUGCAUGUAGGACGCCCAGCCACAUCACUGGUCUCCACAUACUAGAUGCCACUAGCACACCCCGCCACACCUGCCAGUUGUGACAACCAAAUCUAUGUCCAGACGGUGCCAGAUGUCCCUGGAGCAGAAAGAUGAGGUUAUAUUCUUCGCCCAUCCGAGCAGCAUCUCUCCUCUCGGGGGACACAAAAGUAGAGGGAACUCUGGACAAAAUAGCUGAGUUUUCAUCUGAAAUGCUCCCACUGACUUCCUGGCUCGAGGAGGGUAAGAGGUGGCUCCACAUAGCAGACGGAGCAACGGAGGGCUGACCUCCCGGAGGUGCCGGGGCCCUCGGGAGAGGCCCAUGCAUGUGAGUAGCCGUUUCUGCCGGGAAGCUUUUCCAUCACAGAAAGGGGUAGUGUUCACCUUUCUCUUGCAGCCGGUAUUUAAUAAGGUUGCCAUGGAGUGGACGUGAGCCUGGGCGCCCAGGACUCAGAGAAGCCUCAAGAAAGGCAAAUAUCCACUCAGAUGGAAUUUCCACUGGAAGUGAUAAGCUUCUCCAGUCCUCUGAUGGUUUCCAAAGAAGGUGAGGGUGUAGGGGGGCUCCUUGUCCACUCUCUGAUGUCAGGAUGGCCAGUCGGGAAGGAGCCAUGACUCCUUACGUGCUGUCGGAUGCAACAAGCAAAUGCGACCCUCGCUCUGGGAGCCGGACUUUAUCACCCAAGCACGGCGGAAGGAGAGAGUCUGCAUCAUCGGUUUUGGGGAAGCUUCAAGAGAUGGAGAGUGUUUAUUUGCUAAAGGUGCCUCUCCGCUCUCUUCCUGAUGACAGGAUGGGCUGUGGGCAUAGCCAGCUGAUGGCCCCCAUGAGGUCCUGUCACUCUCGGGGUUUGGGGACGUUUGGCCAGCCAGGCUCCAGGCCCUGGAACCAAUGCUGUCGUCCUCUGUCUCCACUUGGGGCACUCGGGGCAGGGGGCGUGGGCUUCCUUCCCAGCAGUGAGGAUCCAGCUCUGCUCUCACCCGCACACGAACUUUGACCUUUGCAAUCCUACUCUUGCAGAAUUUUUGAGACAGUUGAAGAGGACAAUGGGUGUCAAGGUCCCGGCACUGCGGCUGCUCAAUAAAUGGCUGUUCUUUCCUUCUCUCUCUCUUCUG